GGACCAAGGAGUCUAGCAUGUGCGCGAGUCAUUGGGACUCUAACGAAACCUAAAGGCGUAAUGAAAGUGAAGGCCCGCCUAGCGCGGGCCGAGGGAGGAUGGGUGUCCCCGAGGGGACGCCUCGCACUCCCAGGGCGUCUCGUUCUCAUUGCGAGAAGAGGCGCACCAAGAGCGUACACGCUGGGACCCGAAAGAUGGUGAACUAUGCCUGGUCAGGACGAAGUCAGGGGAAACCCUGAUGGAGGUCCGUAGCGAUUCUGACGUGCAAAUCGAUCGUCGGAACUGGGUAUAGGGGCGAAAGACUAAUCGAACCAUCUAGUAGCUGGUUCCCUCCGAAGUUUCCCUCAGGAUAGCUGGCGCUCGCUUCUCGCGAGUCUCAUUCGGUAAAGCGAAUGAUUAGAGGCAUUGGGGUCGAAACGGCCUCAACCUAUUCUCAAACUUUAAAUGGGUGAGAUCUCCGGCUUGCUUGAACUGUGAAGCCGCGAGAUAUCGGAUCAGAGUGCCAAGUGGGCCACUUUUGGUAAGCAGAACUGGCGCUGUGGGAUGAACCAAACGCUGAGUUAAAGCGCCUAAAUCGACGCUUAUGGGAUACCAUGAAAGGCGUUGGUAACUUAAGACAGCAGGACGGUGGCCAUGGAAGUCGGA
rnacentral:rRNA from 3 species